CCCUUAGAUGUUCUGGGCCGCACGCGCGCUACACUGACGAAGUCAGCGAGCAUGUCCUACGCCGACAGGUGCGGGGAAUCUUGUCAAACUUCGUCGUGAUGGGGAUUGAUUAUUGAAAUUCUUGAUCAUCAACGAGGAAUUCCUAGUAAGCGCAAGUCAGCAGCUUGCGUUGAUUACGUCCCUGCCCUUUGUACACACCGCCCGUCGCUACUACCGAUUGAAUGGUUUAGUGAGAUCUUCGGAUUGGCGCCACUGCGGCUCAGCGAUGGGCUCGGUGGAUGCCGAAAAGUUGAUCAAACUUGAUCAUUUAGAGGAAGUAAAAGUCGUAACA
rnacentral:rRNA from 1 species